rnacentral:rRNA from 1 species
GACGAACGCUGGCGGCGUGCCUAAUACAUGCAAGUCGAACGGUUUAGUUCCAAGAGGCUUGCCUUUUGGAACUAGACAGUGGCGGACGGGUGAGUAACACGUAGGCAACCUACCUGUCAAACCGGGAUAACCUCGGGAAACCGAAGCUAAACCCGGAUAAGCUCCUUUUUCGCAUGAAGGGGGAGUGAAAAGGUGCGACCUGAUGACAGAUGGGCCUGCGGCGCAUUAGCUAGUAGGUAGGGGAACGGCCUACCUAGGCGAUGAUGCGUAGCCGACCUGAGGGGGCGUACGGCCACACUGGGACUGAGGUACGGCCCAGACUCCUACGGGAGGCAGCAGUAGGGAAUCUUCGGCGAUGGGCGAGAGCCUGACCGAGCAACGCCGCGUGAGUGAGGAAGGCCUUCGGGUUGUAAAACUCUGUUGUUUGGGAAGAAGGGAAAGGGUAGGACCCUUAGGUGACGGUACCAAACGAGAAAGCCCCGGCUAACUACGUG